AGUGAACGCUGGCGGUAGGCCUAACACAUGCAAGUCGAACGGCAGCACAGUAAGAGCUUGCUCUUACGGGUGGCGAGUGGCGGACGGGUGAGGAAUACAUCGGAAUCUACUUUUUCGUGGGGGAUAACGUAAGGAAACUUACGCUAAUACCGCAUACGACCUACGGGUGAAAGCAGGGGAUCUUCGGACCUUGCGCGAUUGAAUGAGCCGAUGUCGGAUUAGCUAGUUGGCGGGGUAAAGGCCCGCCAAGGCGACGAUCCGUAGCUGGUCUGAGAGGAUGAUCAGCCACACUGGAACUGAGACACGGUCCAGACUCCUACGGGAGGCAGCAGUGGGGAAUAUUGGACAAUGGGCGCAAGCCUGAUCCAGCCAUACCGCGUGGGUGAAGAAGGCCUUCGGGUUGUAAAGCCCUUUUGUUGGGAAAGAAAAGCAGCAGGUUAAUACCCCGCUGUUCUGACGGUACCCAAAGAAUAAGCACCGGCUAACUUCGUG
rnacentral:rRNA from 1 species